ensembl:lncRNA
AGUGGGUGCGGGUGCCGAGAACUGCUCCGAGUGGGGAGGUGACCUGAGGAAGUCCUCCCGCGAGGGGCUUUUGCCAGGGAGACUCGAGGGUGGCCGACUGGUUUAAAAAAAAAAACAACAGGUGAUCCGGUAGCCAGGACUUUGGACGAGAGAAUGGCCCCGGGAACUGCUCCUAAAAGUGAUCAGCCUAAGGGGAAAUGAGAAAUCCCACGACAGGCUUUCCUAUGGGCUGACCUGGCUUCUCCCUCUGACGGUUUACCUGCUAGGAGCAGAAGUAGGUGCAGGCUCGCCUGUGAGGAACGGGACUUUUCUGCCCAGACACGUGCCGUUUUACAAUUUUAGUGUCAUCGACUCGACGGACAUGUGUUUGACCAAUUUCCAAGAGUUUUGGUAAUGGACGUGGAAGCCUGGCGCUCUGUAGUCCACGGGGUCACAGAGUCAGACACGACUGAGCGACUGAACUGAACUGAACAGGCUCUUCUGCUAAUUAGCUGCAAGGCCUAAGGAGCCAAACUGACUUCUCUAAGCCUCCCUUUCCUCAUCUAUGAAGGUCCAUACCUGUGCCAUAGUGACUGAUGAAGAAAUUCAGGACAAGAAACCCAGUGUCUUAUCCAAGGUCAAGCAGAAAGUCGGUGGCAGAAUUACAGCUGUGGUCCAUCGUGUCUAGAGAUGAUCUUGUUUCUUCUGGCAAUGUCUGUAUUUUUCAGGACUUAAUCCAGCAACCUCGACUUCCUUUGGCUGUCCCAGAGUUAACAAAUUAAAAGCACAUACAGCCAACCCUGUACUUGUACACUGUUUUGGUUGCUUCCUGUCUCCAGGAGGCACUGCCUUGAGGGACCUCUGCCCCAUUCUAGCUUGAGCCCAAGGCCACAUCCAGGGAGCUGCAUGGCCACCUGCUGAGUGGAGGGCAUCGUAGCGCGAGUCUGAG